CCCACCUCAGCCUCCCAAAGUGCUGGGAUUACAGGCGUGAGCCACCAUGCCCAGCCUUAAGCAUGAAAUAUGUUUCUAAGCAGAUUAAACCAUGUUAUAUUUUUAAAAUCCUCCCAUUCGAUAAGAUACUGAAGACAAUUAUAUUUUCUUAAUACACACACACACACACACACACACACACACACACACACACACACACGGCCCUAUAUUAUCCAAUGAGGCAUUUAUACCUUGGUAGCAAAAGGGCAGGUACUUGCUUUAUGAACUACAUAAAUUACAAAGAGAAGAAUAAGAAUUUUCUUUGAAAAUGUUUUGGACAAUUGAAAGAAAGUGUUUGUUUGUUUUUGUAUUGAAGGGUUCCAAUUUUAAGGAGGAACAUACAAAUUCAAGAAAUAUGACCUGAGACUAUUCCUUUCUAGGGAUUGUUAUCAGAGGGACAUCUUGAUUUACCUAAUUUCUGAAAACUAAAAAAAUUCUCCUUGAAUAUUGUUAAAAUCUCAAAUGCUUCAUCAUAAUUUGAGACUGAACUGAAAGAAAAAAAUGCUAAUAAUCAAAUUCUGUAGAGAAACUGGCAUUUUCAUAUUGUUACGAAGACAGGGCGGAUGGCUGGGCGCGGUGGCUCAUGCCUAUAAUACCAGCACUUUGGGAGGCCAAGGCGGGCAAAUCACCUGAGGUCAGGAGUUCGAGACCAGCCUGGCCAACAUGGUGAAACCUCAUCUCUACUAAAAAUACAAAAAUUAGUCAGAUGUGGUGGCAUGUGCCUGUAAUCCCAGCACUUUGGGAGGCUGAGGCAGGUGAAUGGCUUGAGCUCAGGAGUUUGAAACCAGCCUGGGCAACAUGGCAAAACUCCAUCUCUACAAAAACAAAAAUUAGCAAGGUAUGGUUGCGCGCACAUGUGGUCCUAGCUACUUGGGAGACUGAGGUGGAAGAAUCACGUGAGGCCAGGAGGCAGAGGCUGCAGUGAGCCGAGAUCAUACCACUGCACUCUACCCUGUCUCAAAAUAAAAAAAAGAAGGAGGGUAUACUGGUACAAUGUAAGAAGGCAUAUAUAUAGGCUUAUUUAUAAUUGGGGAAAAUCAGUAAGUUACUAAGGAAAGCAAAAUACUCCUGGUUUUAUUUCUAUCUCAUUCUCUCUCAUCAUUACCCUACAUCUAGACUCAGAGCCAUUCAUUCAUUCAUUCAUUCAACAGAUAUUCACUAAGAGGUGCUCCACAUGCCAGGUAGUGAUCCAGGCACUAGGCACGCAGCAGUAAGACAGAAACACCUUUUCCAGGAAACAGAAUUUUCAUAUCCAAAUACUGAACACAAGCCUUCAUUUAACACAUUCUCAUUUAAUUCAGUUCAAUUCCUUUCUAGCCAAAAAUAUUCCCAUAUUAUAUAUUAAUAAGGGGACAGUUUAUAGAUUCACUUUAUAUCAUGCAAUACUUCAAAACAUAGUAAGUAGUCAUUAAAACCUUCAAAUUACAUGGGACAUUCCUGGAACCACAACUCCAAACAGCCCUAGCUAUCUGUAUGUGUGAUAUCAAAACUCUAGAUCACUGAUAUGUUCUUAAAACAGAACAAGGAAUACAUGAAUAAAUCCGAAUGCCAUGUGAUUGUCUGGGGUCCAAAACCUGAAUUUGGCCUUGUCACAAACCACAACAAUCUCUUCACCCCAGUAAGCAUUUACUAACUUGAACAGAUCUAGAUUGAUUGCAACAUACCAACACAACAGGAACAUCAAGGUUAGUGAGCAAGAAACUUGAUUAACAUUCCUUCGGAAGAUCCAUCCCACCCUGCCUCUCUCCAGGUAGAGGACACAGAGAGGCAAGCCCAAAACAACUAAAGUUUUUGGCAAGGAAAGAAAAACAUGCCUGUAUUGGUAUCCUUGAAUUUCCCAGAUCUACCAGUUUGAGGUGUUGGCAGCCAUUUCAGAAAUAAGACCCGGGGGUGGGCAAGAAAAACUGUACUUCUACGCUGUUCUUUAGGUAAACACCAUUGAGUCUUCAGCACGAACAGUUAUCCAUUGUUCACAGGCAAAGAAGUUACUAUGAAAACAGUGCUAUUUGUAGAAACUUAUAAAAACAAUUCUACGGCCGGGCACGGUGGCUCAUGCCUGUCAUCCCAGUACUGUGGGAGGCUGAGGCAGGCGGGUCACCUGAAGUCGGGAGUUCAAGACCAGCCUGACCAACAUGGAGAAACGCCAUCUUUACUAAAAAUACAAAAUUAGCUGGGCGUGGUGGCACAUGCCUGUAAUCUGCUACUCUGGAGGCUGAGGCAGGAGAAUCGCUUGAACCUGGGAGGCGGGGGUUGCAGUGAGGUGAGAUUGCACCACUGCACUCCAGCCUGUGAAACUCCGUCUCAAAGAAAAAAAAAAAAGAUUUUAGAUAUUGCUUAGUACCGUUUUUACAUUUUGGUCUUUACUAAGUAAACAUCUUAGCUUUGAAUAUGAAGUUAAAGUUAAGCCAUCAGUAAGAUAUUCAAACCUUGAUUUUUUUUCUCACAUACAGAGUAAUUACUGUAUGAGCUGUAUUGAACUAUUUUCUCAUUUGAUCCCAUUUGUGAGUAAUGGCACCUAUUUGUAAGAUGGUUGUGAGGCGGGUGGGAGUUCAGUCUGUGGCCCUAAAAGAAUAGGCCUGUGUGAAGUUCAAAUCCAAAAUGAAGAUCCAAAAAAUACUACGUUCUAGCUGCUUAAACAGUCUGUAUUUUCCACAUUAUGAUGGAUUCAAAGCAAAUAAGAGUCACACUUCAAAGUCAGAAGUUACAUUCCUCUUAAAGGAUAUUUGUACUCGGCUGCUACUAUAAGACAAAGGUUAACUUGACAGGCUCAAUGUCUCUGUUAUAUAUUGUGGAAAAAUUACCUAAAAUAGCUAUCAUUUAUUAAAUUUCUAUUUUCUGUUAGGUGCUUUACAAAUGCCAUGUAAAGGGCUGGGUGCGGUGGCUCACGCCUGUAAUCCCAGCACUUUGGGAGGCCGAGGCAGGUAGAUCACGAGGUCAGGAGAUUGAGACCAUCCUGGCUAACACGGUGAAACCCCGUCUCUACUAAAAAUACAAAAAAAUUAGCUGGGCAUGGUGGUGGGUGCCUGUAAUCCCAGCUACUCAGGAGGCUGAGGCAGGAGAAUGGCGUGAACCCGGGAGGCGGAGGUUGCAGUAAGCCAAGAUCGCGCCACUGCACUCCAGCCUGGGCAACAGUGUAAGACUCUGUCUCAAAAAAAAAAAAAAAAAAAAAAAAAAAUACCAUGUCAAGUCUUCACAAAAGCACUGCAAAACAGAGAUUGAUACCUUCUCUUUAUACACAAUGAAACCAAAGUUCAGCCACGUAACUGGCCCAGAAUCACACAAUUAGCGAGUAGCAGAUCUGUUACUCCAAGCUACUUCUGUCUAGAUACCUCCAAAGUCCAUGUUCCUUCUACACUCUGCAACUUCAGCACUCUAUCCUAACUCUUCCUCAUCCCCGGAUGUUAAAUUUUAUUCAGAGAAAAUAAAAAGACAUUUAAAACACACACACACAAACACACACACACACACGCAAAGUCUCUUCAUGAAAUUUCCUAAAGAUGAGUUUCAACAAAUUUAAGAUUUGAAGAAAUUUUUUUUAUCAGCCUCCAUACUUUACACCUUAAUGCUGCACAACCCAUACCUUCCUCUAGGCCCCCCAACUUACAUAUUAAGUUCAGGCUUUUAGUAAGUGGGCACAUUCUGACAAACUGAGAACCCAGUAUGGACUUUUCUGUCAUGGGCUCACAAAGGGUAGAUAAAAUGCUUCCACUAUGUACUUGGUUCACCCUACUACCACUCUGUCUCUGAGUUCCCUCCACAUUUACAUACUAGUUGGACACAUUAAGAACACCUGAUAAAUUCCAAAAUAGAAAAAGAUAAAUGAAGGGGGGAAUCACUUUCUAAAAUGAUGCAUUGUACGCUUUUUAAAAAUAGCAAACUUAAUGUAUAAUUUUAAGUCCUUAAAGAAUAUAACCAAUAUCCCUGAAACCCUUGCUCAACUGGAGAAAUGGACCAACAUAUGUACUUAUGUGCUCCUUCUUGCUUCUAAACUCCUGCCUCUCAUUUCAAGGUAACCUUCUGAAUUUCGUGUAAAUCAUUAUCUUAUUUCAAAAAUAUUGUCACAAAUAUAUGAAGGUCUAAGCAAUAUGUUUAGUUUCAGUUUUUUUCAACUUUCUUAUAGAAAGUGUUUCAUGCUCUAUAAAACUUUCUAAGCCUUUCACUCAAUGCGUAUUUUUUCUUUUCUUUUCUUUUUUUUUUUUUUUUGAGACAGAGUUUUGUUCUUGUCAUACAGGCUGGAGUGCAGUGGCAUGAUCUUGGCUCACUGCAACCUGUCCCCUCCCAGGUUCAAGCAAUUCUCCUGUCUCAGACUCCCGAGUAGCUGGGAUUACAGGCACCUGCCACCAUGCCCAGCUAAUUUUUGUAUUUUUAGUAGAGAUGGGGUUUCACCAUCUUGGCCAGGCUGGUCUUGAAUUCCUGAACUCAGGUGAUCUGCCCAUCUCGGCCUCCUAAAGUGCUGGAAUUACAGGCAUGAGCCACCGCACCUGGCCUUCAAUGCUGUAUUUUCUAAGAUUCAUCCAAACCGUAGUGUGCAUAUGUAGUUUAUCCUUUUGGCUGCUGUAUUACAAGGUAGUGUUCCAAUGCAUGUACAAAAAAUUUCUGAUUCGGCAGGGCGCGGCGGCUCACGUCUGUAAUCCCAGCACUUCGGGAGGCUGAGGCAGGUGGACCACUUGAGGUCAGGAGAUCAAGUCCUGCCUGGCCAACAUGGUGAAACCCCGUCUCUAGUAAAAAUACAAAAAUUAGCCAGGCAAUGUGGUACGUGCCUGUAAUCCCAGCUACUCAGGGGACUGAAGCAGGAGAAUUGCUUGAAGCCAGGAGGCGGAGGUUACAGUGAGCCGACGUCAUGCCACCACACUCCAGCCUGGGCAAGAGAGAGAGACUCCGUCUCAAAAAAACAAUAACAAAAACACAUUCUGAUUUAUUUUCUUUUUUUUUUUUGAGAUGGAGUCUCACUCUGUCACCCAGGCUGGAGUGCAGUGGCACGAUCUCGGCUCAUUGCAACCUCCACCUGCCGGGUUCAAGUGAUUCUCCUGCCUCAGCCUCCCAAGUAGCUGGGACUACA
rnacentral:lncRNA from 10 species